rnacentral:rRNA from 1 species
AUUGAACGCUGGCGGCAUGCCUUACACAUGCAAGUCGAACGGCAGCGGGGGAGAAGCUUGCUUUUCCUGCCGGCGAGUGGCGAACGGGUGAGUAAUACAUCGGAACGUGCCCUGUAGUGGGGGAUAACUAGUCGAAAGAUUAGCUAAUACCGCAUACGACCUGAGGGUGAAAGUGGGGGACCGCAAGGCCUCACGCUAUAGGAGCGGCCGAGGUCGGAUUAGCUAGUUGGUGGGGUAAAGGCCUACCAAGGCGACGAUCAGUAGCUGGUCUGAGAGGACGAUCAGCCACACUGGGACUGAGACACGGCCCAGACUCCUACGGGAGGCAGCAGUGGGGAAUUUUGGACAAUGGGCGAAAGCCUGAUCCAGCAAUGCCGCGUGUGUGAAGAAGGCCUUCGGGUUGUAAAGCACUUUUGUCCGGAAAGAAAUGGCUCUGGUUAAUACCUGGGGUCGAUGACGGUACCGGAAGAAUAAGGACCGGCUAACUACGUGCCAGCAGCCGCCGCAG